rnacentral:rRNA from 1 species
GGCUCAGGAUGAACGCUAGCUACAGGCUUAACACAUGCAAGUCGAGGGGUCUCAAGGGAGCUUGCUUCUGCGAGACGACCGGCGCACGGGUGAGUAACGCGUAUCCAACCUGCCCUUCAUAUUGGGAUAGCCUUCCGAAAGGGAGAUUAAUACCGAAUAACAUGAGAAGAUUGCAUGAACCUCUCAUGAAAGCUCCGGCGAUGAAGGAUGGGGAUGCGUUCCAUUAGGUAGUAGGCGGGGUAACGGCCCACCUAGCCGACGAUGGAUAGGGGUUCUGAGAGGAAGGUCCCCCACACUGGAACUGAGACACGGUCCAGACUCCUACGGGAGGCAGCAGUGAGGAAUAUUGGUCAAUGGUCUGACGACUGAACCAGCCAUGCCGCGUGAAGGUGACGGCCCUAUGGGUCUUAAACUUCUUUUGCAAGGGAGCAAUAAGGCGUACGUGUACGUCGAUGAGAGUACCUUGCGAAUAAGCAUCGGCUAACUCCGUG